AUUGAACGCUGGCGGCAGGCUUAACACAUGCAAGUCGAGCGGAGUGAUGGUGCUUGCACUAUCACUUAGCGGCGGACGGGUGAGUAAUGCUUAGGAAUCUGCCUAUUAGUGGGGGACAACAUCUCGAAAGGGAUGCUAAUACCGCAUACGUCCUACGGGAGAAAGCAGGGGAUCUUCGGACCUUGCGCUAAUAGAUGAGCCUAGGUCGGAUUAGCUAGUUGGUGGGGUAAAGGCCUACCAAGGCGACGAUCUGUAGCGGGUCUGAGAGGAUGAUCCGCCACACUGGGACUGAGACACGGCCCAGACUCCUACGGGAGGCAGCAGUGGGGAAUAUUGGACAAUGGGGGGAACCCUGAUCCAGCCAUGCCGCGUGUGUGAAGAAGGCCUUAUGGUUGUAAAGCACUUUAAGCGAGGAGGAGGCUACUCUAGUUAAUACCUAGGGAUAGUGGACGUUACUCGCAGAAUAAGCACCGGCUAACUCUGUGCCAGCCGCCGCGGUAA
rnacentral:rRNA from 1 species